UUUUCUUAAUUUUUUUUGCUAGUUUACUUUCGAUGCGCCGCCAUCUCUAGAGCUCCACCCGCUGCAUCCUCGUUCCCAUCGUCCCCGCUGCAGCGCUCGGCGUCAUCUGAUCCACGGACAUGCCGGCAAGGUCCAUCCGCCCUUUCCUGAUCUCUCGUCAAUCACGCGCUGGGGCUCCACCUCCUGCCUCCCAUCCCUUUCCAAUCGUGAGUGCCCCUACACUGUUUAAUUUUAUUUGAUAGUGUUUAAUUUGGCGGCGCUUGCAGCUUUACCCCUGGCCGUGAUUGCUCCAAGUGCGCCGACGGGAUUUGCACAGGAAUGCUUGGCAUAAGCUUGGUGCUAUGCCUACACAAGAAGUUGUGCUGGAGUACAUCACAUUUGUUCAUGAGCUACUCCCUAACUGGGCUGAGAAAUAAAUUAGCAUGAGAGUGAGAGAUUGCUGCAACCACUGAGCUCAAGGAGUGACCAUCGAUCUGCACUUUUUCUUUCCCCUUGUCAUGCUAAUGUAGUAUUAAGAUAAAUAUAGAUAUUUAGAGUACAAAUGGCAGAGGUCCUAGCUACUUUGACUAGAGCUGGGAGGCUUUGAGUCUGAUUGAUAGCUCCACAUGCUUUUGGCUUUUCAGAAGCACAAGAGCACAAAGGCCUAAAUUCUGAGUUGUGGCAUGUGCCCUGCCCCCAUGUAUUGGUUGCCUGUGGUAGUGGUGUAUUUUCCUCAUCACAUGGCAUUUCCAUUUGCUCUGGAUUGGAACGGACCAGCAGAAUGGUGAGGCUCUCCCUUGCCUGCAUUAUCAUUUUAUUUAUCUUUGAAAUCUUCAGAUGGAGCCAUUUACCCUACCUCUCCAUGUCUCCACCAUUUUAAAAUGUUUCUUUUUGUAAAUAAUUGCAUUGAUUUCCCUGUCAUAUCAAAACCAAAGUAGAUUUUUGGAAGUAUAUGCCUAAUCAAUAGUUAUAUACCAAAGUGAUAUACUGUUAUUUUGGCAAGACACCUGAUUGAUGAAAUAGUGAUUCUAUUGUGCAACAGACUAUUUUGCAUGCUUAGGAAGGCUAAAAUUCACUGUAGAUAAAUGCUCAGUCUUUUAUUCAGGGCAUGUGUUAAAAAUAUAAAAUCAGAGAGCCCUAAAAUUGUUCAUGUAUUAUACUAGAAAGGUGCCCAGGACUUUUUUGGGUAAGAGGAAUGGCAUGGUCUGAGGUGAAACACUUCAUAUUCCAGACUGCUUCACCAACUGAAAUACUACUUCAGUAUAUUCACGUACAGUUCACUAACUAAAAUACUACUUCAGCAUAUGCACAUGCUCUUCACCAACUGAAAUACUUCUUCCGGACUGCUUCACUAACAAAACUGCUCAUAUAGAGCUAUAUAGCUUUAAGAAAACAAUGCCCUGUGUUAUAUAUUAUUGUGCAAAUAUGAAACAUAGCUUUGUUUUAUAUAGACCUGCAUUUUGAUUGUUUGAUUUACAUUACGGAAUGUCGCCAUAGUGCCUCAUCAUCUCAAAACACCAUGUUUGUUUCAUGCUCCUCUUGUUGGCGUAAAACCAUAGCAGAGAUAUUAUAUGAUGGCAUGCAUGUUCAAGGAUCUUUGAGCAUGUCGUACUGUUGUGCGCUGUAGCAUAGGUUGCAAAUACGUUUGAUAUGGAUGAUAAUUAAAUAUAUGCAGAUUGCUGUGGCUAAACUAUCAUGCUCUCCCAAUGUAGGGGGUAUUCAACAUCCUUCACAUUCUUAAUAUUAUGGAGUUUUUCAGUUCAAGGUCGAGUAACUCAUGUAGUUCUUACACAGGGAUCAAUUUGGGUUUCUUGGAUCGAGUCUUUAGUUCGAUGUAGCUUAUAUAUACAGACCUGAUUUUUGUUUUUCUGAUUUUGCUCUUAUGGGGCAUCAAGAUGAGCAGCUUUGGCAUGUGCAAACAUCUGGAUACGAAUGUAGCAGUGAAAAGAGACAGGGCAAGGGAAUGUGUACUGUGUUUUUUUUUGUUCUUUUUUAGUGGAAUUACUAUUGUUUUUUCAGUUCUGAAUUGCUUAUAGAUUUGUAAAGAACUGAAACCUGGAAAGUUUCCUCUCAAAUAUCUGAAUGUUUGAACCAGAAUCCAAAAAAUUCUGAAUUAAUUAUCUCUUGGACAACGACAGAAAAAAUUCUUAUACUCUCUUGAGAGUUUUUUAAUUUUGCUAUACCAAAAGGCUAUCCUAUACUGAGCGUUCACGUCUAAAUGCUUAUAUCUCAGAUAGAUCCUAUUAUGAAGUACCAAUGAUUUUUUGGUGAAUUGUUGUCUUUUACACUCUGAACAUGUGCUUCAUAACUCUCUGAUUAUUUGGUUUUCAGUCAGCUGGGCAACAUUGAGCAUGCUGUAUUGUUUACGUAUCACACUCAUGUGUGGUGCAAUAGUAGACGUAAUGAUAUCUUUCGAAAUAGUAUAGAUAUAUUAGUUCAAUUAGCCCCUGUUGAUGUGUGCUUCCUCCACCUUCGCAAAUGUUAUUUACAUGGGAAAAAAUAGUUACGGUACUGCCGGCUUAGUACUUAUGCUUACCAAGUAAAAUUGUAUAGCCACUGUUCAAGUGUGAGUUAGUUCAGGAAGCACCCAUGGAUGGAAAUUAUAUUAGCCACUUAGUUCUGAAAAGGUGUUCUGAAUAACCAGCAAUUUGUUGGUUUUCUUUGCAGGAGUUAAGGCUUAUAAACUGAGUUUUUGGUGCAAAUCUGAAGCAUAAAAAGAAGACCAUUUGGCCAAAAAAACUGUAGCCUAAAAUUAAUUAACUAAUCAAAUGUGCUGUCUGAAUAUAUUGGCUAUUUUUUUCUAGAAAAAAAAACUAUGUAAAGCUAUUUUUGCAAGGGUUGUUGAGAAUUAGGAUUUAAUGGUUUCCAACUACGGUGAAAAGCUCAAGUGCUGGUGAUCUAAUGUUUCUCUAAAUAUUUCUAAGCACUCCAAUGUCUUGGUACCAUGCCACAAGGCUCUCUUGUAAUGGUCAAUGAUGCAAACCGUGAUGACAUUACACAUGCUCAGGGAGGACUGAACAUGCGGAAAAUUAUCCUCUGCAUCUAUUUUGGGAUGCCAGCCGUUGUCUCGCUGAUUCACUGUAUGGCACUUAAAGAACUCAAGAAACCUUCCGAUCAUGUAUUGUGGCAUAUGCUGCAGUGAGUUCCUAUUCUAUAUAUAAAGUUUAUAUGUUCUCAUAUGCAGGAAAAUUGUAUAAUCAGGUGUUUCCAUUAAGCUUCCUUGUGUACAAAUUAUGUGUGCAUUAGGUGCUGUAUGUUCUAUUAUGCAUAAUGAAGAAAUUAUA